rnacentral:lncRNA from 1 species
CUUGAAAGCAUUAAGAAUUGGUGUGCCUUUUGUUUUUAAGGCCAAAAGGUCUUCUGCAAUAUUACACAAGGUGUUUGAAACCUCCUAAGAAAAGGAGACAAACUGUUACUCCUGAUGGGAAAAGCUUUUUUCAAACAAGGGAUAUCUGCAACAGCAAGAACAAUAGAAGGGUCGUAUAGUAGGGCAUACCAAGGGGUGAGUCGAUCAAUUCAAAGGGUCACGACUGAGAAUGAUAGUAAGAGGAUAUCUGGUGGGAUAAAGGUUAAGGUUCAGCUUAGGUUUCUUUGAUUCAAAAUUUUUUUAUUGGUUCUUGAAUUAGGGUUUGGGAUAUAGGGCUCAAUUCCAAAACCUAAUUUAGAAGCUUAAUUUCAAAAUAAAAAGAAAUUAAAAUUGAUAUAUGAAAAUGAAAUUUAAAAUACUUGGCUAGACAAGGGGCACAAGGUUGCUUGUCGGCGAAUGGAAGUGAUUUAAAGUUUAACCCCCAAGUUAAUAAUACUUGCUCUUACACCGAGUCAAGUUGAAAUUUUGGUUGAACUAAUUUAUUCGUUCAAUCAAUCCUAUAUAGCCUCUAUUUGGGAAGAAAUUAUUAACGAUUUAAUUUUUAAAUAAAUAAAAUGAGUAGUAAAUAAGUAUAUAGAAUUUGUGGUCCUAUAAAAAUGUG